AAAAAGACAAACCGCGGGUUUGCGUGCCAAUGUUUGACUGUCCGUCUUAUAUGAAUUUUUUUUAUAAUUAGUAUUUUUAUUGUUGUUAGAUGAUAAAAUAUGAUGAAUACUUUAUGCGUGACUUAUCUUUUCAAUUUUUUCAUAAUUUUUUUAAAUAAGACGGACGGUCAAACAUUGGACACGGAAAUCAGGGUUUAUCUUUUU
rnacentral:pre_miRNA from 1 species